GACAGAGUUCCCAGCUCACACCAGUGCUGGUGCCUUGGUUUCCCCCAAGUCGAUGCAUGGUGCUGGGGUUCCUGUCCCCAGGGCAGCAGUUCCAGAGCUGUCCCUCCCCUCCAUUUCCACACCUGCCCCACUAAAUCCCCAGAUCUCCCCCUCCCAGCUUCCCUCGUGAUGGACGGGGUACCACCCUCCCCUCUCUGCUCACAGCCACCUGCACCUCCAGGUCCCCCAAACCUGAUGGUGCAGAAGGAUCUGGGAUCCUUUUGGCUCCUUGCGGGCUGCCUUAGAGCUCCUGCAUCCACACACAUCAGAUAUGUGUCACCCUGCUCCUGCACUCUCAUCAAGGCUAUUUCCAACCCCCCAGGGUAUGCGGUUUCUCUCCAGGCUCCCACAGCUCCUUGGCUUUUCCAUCACCCCAUUGCCAAGCACUCUGCAACAUUCAUCCACCACUUUCCCUGCCUUCCCUUGGUGGUCUCCAAAAUCCCCUUCCCCACGUCCCACACCCCCAAGAAACCUCUUGCUCCCCCCCCUCCCCCCCCCCCCAGCAAAGGGGAUUAAAAACCACAGUUCAUUUUUCAUGUGAUGUUAACAUAAAUUGGAAUUUCGCUGCUCUGGUUUCCGGGAGCCAAAGCUGAGAGGGUGGUAUUCCUGUAGGGUUUAGUCCUCAGAGGAUGCGCCUGGACCACAGCAUCAUCCUGGUGCUGGGCUCCAUUGUUCUGAAGAAUGUGCACGUGGUUAUCCCCUUGAAUAGCUCCUCCGAGACCCAGAAAUACUGCAGAGCUCCACAUGGCCAAAGGGCUUGCUCGUGUGGACACCAAAGUGCAUACCCCAAUGGCUCAGGGGGCUCAGCACGAUCAUUUCAGAUUGGUGUGACAAGCCUGGGGAUGAGGGAUGUGCUGGGGCUCUGCAUACCUCCCAGCCCACAGCUCUUAGCUUUCGGGUCUCUAGAACACAGACAGCAUCUUGCCCAGCUGUGAAUGAAGGGCAGACAUCAGCCAUGAACAGAGGACGAAAACAUCCAAGACAGGGAACCCCAAACUUCCAGGGUUCCCCAGCAAAUCAGCAUAGCAAAGGCAAUCUUUGUGUUUCCAUGAAGGCUCUUAAGUGCACACACAGCCUGAGGACAAGGAUGUUGUCAGACACUGGAAUUUACAGCAGCAAUUUAUUCAGAAGAAAGGCUCCAGGUGAAAAGGCCUGAGACUUGAAGAAGAGAGGAAGAAUUCUUCAUAGAUGCAAGUGGAAUACUUAUAAGUCAGUAUUUGUUCUUGCUGUGUUUCAGCCCAGCUGCUGCGAGAUUGCUUUGUCCAGGAGAACUCAGAACCACCCCUUAAACUUCAUUAAAAAUGUAUUUUUAAGCCUCUGGGGAGUCAGCCUGUUAUGACAAAUCCUUCCUUCCAAUCCAUCCAUGCCAUGGGAUGGCCUUGUGGUGGCCAACCCACAACAGGUGAUCCUUUUGGGAAGAGAAUAUUUUCAGCCCCAAACGUAGAGAAGCCAGAACAAAUCCACGUGGCAAUAAGAGGAGAGUUCAGAACAUUUCUUCCCAUGUUCUUGUUCUUGGAUACUAUUGACUCCAGGCUCACCAGGCCCCACUUGUGCUUCCAUCUCUAUGUGCUGGAACCUCCCACCAAGGUGCCCAGUGUGCGGUGCCCAUCCAGAGGUCUGAGCAGUCCCCUUGGAAUUACUCUCCCAUACGUACAAGCUCAGUGCAAAGAACCCAGCCAGGUGAUGGGGAAAGAUGUUCCCAUCACCCAGAGCCUUCAGACCUGGAUUUAUUUGCACAAAGAAGAAUCCAAAUCAAAAUACUGCAGGAGGUACCCUGGGGCUCGUGGGCAGCCCAUGCCACCCACUGCCUGGAGCCAAGACGCGGAGGGAGUCCCAUGGGCUGGGAAACAACAUGCUGUCAUUCUGCACACCGCUGUCACCUGGGGAGGGUCGAUGUUUUUGCUCCAAAAGCCUGCUAGCAAAACGCGAGGAAACUCUUUAUUGCCACUCCCUGCAGCUUGAAAAGGUUCUCAUCAGGAAGGGUGGAGGCAACGUGGUUUGUACUCUUGGAAGGGACAAGGCGUCCUCAGCAGAGCGAUCGUUCCCCUCACUGCAGCCUCUGUCCCGCACACAGCGAGUGUCCCCUGUUCCCUGACCUCAAAAGAGCAGCCCUAAAAAUGACAAGGGCAUCUCUUUUGGGUUUAUCUCAGGUGUUGACCAAACGGGGAAUGAGCAGCCAUUCCCAGCUGGGGACCACCUGUGUGUGAUUGUUCCCUCUGCUGGAAAAAGGACUUUGACCAAAAAGGAGCUCUCUUGGUUGGUACAGUCAGAAUAACGUGGCUUUUACCCUGGAACAAGCACAGAGCCCUUGUGCUGAGCAGGGAGCAGUCUGAGGGAUGGGCACCGACAAGAUGUCAUUUCCCCCAAGCCCAAACUGGGGCAAAUGCAAAAGCCAGACUGCAGCCUCUACCACAGGCAGGUGUUCCCCAGGACCUUACUCCUGGUGCAUCCCCAGGGACACAAAUCAGCAGUGCAUGGGGAUAGAGGCUCCCGAGAUGCUCACUACCACACUCUCCCCUUGCACUGCGUGCCUGUCCCAUCUCUUUUUGGUUUAAACUCCUGACAUCUCAAUCCCCGGUCUGAUGGAGUGCGUGGCUGUCAGCUCUGCCCACCCUAAUCCGCUCAUGGGGCUCCUAGGAGGGCUCUCAGGAGCCGUGGAGGAGGUAAACAGAGGAACUGGCAAGGCAGGACAGGAAGGCAGAGCCCCGUCAGAGCCCUGUGCCGCUUGAGGAGAUAAACAAGAACUCAAGAAAUGAGAAGAGUCUUAAGGUGAUGGCUCAACACAUGAGGAAAUACGGGGCAAAAGGCAGCUAUCAAGGAGAGGAAGCUGGAGAAGGGCAGCCUGCUCCGAGCAGUGAGGUCAGCGCUGCAAAAAUAGCACAGGGAAGCUUCCUGCAGGCAGCCAUCCAUGAGCACACAUGGCCCUGUGCUCCUCCUGCACACAGGUGGGCCCGGCUCCCAGCCCAAAAUUGGGCUGAAAUCUCCCAGCAGCACCAAGUUCCACCCACAAAGGGCUCCUCUGCUCCUGUCGCACCUGUGGCUGUGCUUUAUUUCCCAAGGAGCACCGCCAGCACAACGCUGCUCCGCUGGUGAUGUCCUGUUGGGUUGCCCUAACUGAAGAUCUCACUCUAAAGGCAUGAGGAAUGCAAG
ensembl:lncRNA